GCUGGGCAUGGUGAUGCACACCUGUAAUCCCAGCUACUCAGGAGGCUGAGGUAGGAGGAUCACAAGUUUUAAGGCCAGAUUCUAUAACUUUAGUUACACCCUGUCUCAA
rnacentral:sRNA from 1 species